rnacentral:rRNA from 1 species
ACUCAAAGGAAUAGACGGGGGCCCGCACAAGCGGUGGAGCAUGUGGUUUAAUUCGAUGCAACGCGAAGAACCUUACCAGGUCUUGACAUCCAACGAAUCUUUAGGAAACUAGGGAGUGCCUUCGGGAGCGUUGAGACAGGUGGUGCAUGGUUGUCGUCAGCUCGUGUCGUGAGAUGUUGGGUUAAGUCCCGCAACGAGCGCAACCCUUGCUAUUAGUUGCUAACAUUUCGGAUGAGCACUCUAAUGGGACUGCCCGUGACAAGCGGGAGGAAGGUGGGGAUGACGUCAAAUCAUCAUGCCCUUUAUGAUCUGGGCUACACACGUGCUACAAUGGAUGGUACAGAGAGCAGCAAGACCGUGAGGUGGAGCGAAUCUCAUAAAGCCAUUCUCAGUUCGGAUUGGAGUCUGCAACUCGACUUCAUGAAGUCGGAAUCGCUAGUAAUCGCGGAUCAGAACGUCGCGGUGAAUGCGUUCCCGGGCCUUGUACACACCGCCCGU